rnacentral:rRNA from 1 species
CCAAUGUGAACGUUACCAAACUGUUGCCUCGGCGGGAUCUCUGCCCCGGGUGCGUCGCAGCCCCGGACCAAGGCGCCCGCCGGAGGACCAACCAAAACUCUUAUUGUAUACCCCCUCGCGGGUUUUUUUAUAAUCUGAGCCUUCUCGGCGCCCCUCGUGGGCGUUUCGAAAAUGAAUCAAAACUUUCAACAACGGAUCUCUUGGUUCUGGCAUCGAUGAAGAACGCAGCGAAAUGCGAUAAGUAAUGUGAAUUGCAGAAUUCAGUGAAUCAUCGAAUCUUUGAACGCACAUUGCGCCCGCCAGUAUUCUGGCGGGCAUGCCUGUCCGAGCGUCAUUUCAACCCUCGAACCCCUCCGGGGGGUCGGCGUUGGGGAUCGGCCCUCCCUCUGCGGGGGCCGUCUCCGAAAUCCAGUGGCGGUCUCGCCGCAGCCUCUCCUGCGCAGUAGUUUGCACACUCGCACCGGGAGCGCGGCGCGUCCACAGCCGUUAAACACCCAACUUUCUGAAAUGUUGACCUCGGAUCAGGUAGGAAUACCCGCUGAACUUAAGCAUAUCAAUAAGCGGAG